UUCGCGGUGUGUCGGUGCUUUAUAACUUAAGAGAGUCGGUGUUUGACACUAAUAGGACAAGUAAUUUGAAUUGUUCGUUUUAGAGCGUACCAAACAUAGUGGAAUCAAUCAGAAUUUUUCUUUUUCUGUGAAUUAGCUUUUAAUUAGACCAAAAUCCGAGCCCAUAUAUAAAUUUUUCGUGAAUGAACCCAAAAAUACUGUCAUGGCCAAUCUAUAAAUACUUUUAAUAUUAGGACGUUUUGUCUUUUUUCCCCCCACUAAUUUUGUUUUAAUAUUUCUUCAUUAAUUUUAGUAAUUAAGAUGUGUGUGAUAACUAUUAAUUUAAAUUUUCUAAAAUAAAUAUAAUAAGAAAGUAAUAUCUUUGUAUUUAAAUUUUGCUAUGCUUUUGUAUUUAACUCUUAUAAGAAAGAUUCAAGUUUUUUUCUCAAGUUAGGUUUGAAAAAUUGAUCAAUAUAUAUAUAUAUAUAUAUAUAUAUAUAUAAAUAAAUAAAGAGGUAUUUAAUAGAAAAGAAGAGAAAAAAAUUUAAAUAUUAGGUUUGUUUUUAAUUGUUAGAUCAUGUUUGAUUGAUUUGACUCAAAAUAAAGAAAUACACACCUUAAGUUAUUGGGCUUAUAAGAUUUUCCAAAUAUAUAUGUGAAUUGAAUGGGAGUCAAAGGCUAAUCGCACUUUUAGGAAUUUUGAAUUUAUUAUUAGCAAAACAACUUGAGCUUCUUAUAGAGUGUAAUGCCAUGCUGAUGGGUAAUAAAGGCUUUCAUACCUUGUUUGCAAUUGGAAGCUAUUCAUUCAAGGUGAGCUCCAUAAGAUUUGAAUUCAGAUCACAAGUGAUAUAGUUUAUGUGUUUAUUUAUGCAUUCCUAAUUUAUUCUUUUCAAAUAAUAUGUAAAAUGGUUAAGUAUGAUGCUAUGUAUGUUGUUGAAAUCUUCAUAUAAAUUAGUGAAUCAAAAAAACAAUUUUCAUCAGCCUGUGGCCAUUUUCAUAAAUAUUCUUAAAAUACUCAUAAACUAUAGGGGUAUAGAAGAAUUUUGUAAAACAUGGCAACCCCUAGCCCUCCCCUACCUUCGUCUCUGCUGGUGAUCAGGUCUUGGAAAAAGUUAAUAGUUUUCAGUAAAUUAAAGGGAUCUAACAAUGUUUCUUCUGCUUUAAUCCUUUAUUUCGUUGUGAUAAUUUCUUAUUGAUCUUUGAAAAAGUUAAAAUGGUAAAUUUCUCAAAUAAUGAUCCGAACCUUUUUAGCAAGCUAAAAUAAGACAAUAUUUUAGACUGAUUUGUUUGCAUAAACUGACCGAAAGCUUAUUCUCAUGAAAAGUUACAGACAAAGCUAUGCUUGUCUAAUGGAAAUAGCUGCAUCGCUUCAUGCAAUAUUUUGAUGCUUGCGGUUCUCUUGACCAUUCAAAUUUUCGCAGCUCCAUUAUUUUCCAAUGACCUCCAAUAGUUUUAUGUAAAUUACAUUUGCACUCUAUAUUUCUAUUAAACUUUUACUUUAUACCAUUUAAUUCUAAUGAGCAAAAUUUGUACAUAUGAGUUCAUGUGUCAAUGCGGUAUUUCUGUUCAUUUAUUUUCAAUUAAGUGAGAAAUUGAGACGUAUGACUUUACAAAAAUAGGCCGUUAAUUAGAACUUAAAGCGAAAUAAUUGAUUGACACGAUGCAUGGCAGUUAGUGCAAAAUAUAAUUUUAUAAAGGGGUAGGUAUGGUAUUAAUUUUUUCAUAAUUCUACAUAAAUGUUUUUGGUGGGUGCAUUCAAAAUAAGUAGUUGUGCAUUUAAGUCUAAUGAGUGGUUCAAAAAGCUUCGAUAAGUCGCUGGUUCUUUCUCCAUAUUUUCCAUGGUAAUACUCUGUUGACCGUCCAAAGCAUCGUUUGCAAAGUCUUCCAGAUUUAUUUUCAUUCUCCGAUUUCUCUGCAAGAUCGAAUACCAUCGGAUCUCGACAAAAUGAGUGAGGAGUCUUAUUUCUAUGUGCUUGUUUAUAUGUGGGUUCAUAUAUCUUUUUUCACGAAUUAAAACAAUUUGUUGAUUCAGGUUUCCUAUGAAAAACACUCCUUACGACUCCAAAAGUAGGGAUCAUCCGUGUCUUGAAGGGAUCAGAUUUAUAAAACGAUGUGGGUAAUUAAAAUUAAAUCACGCAGCAAAUUUUCAUAUUCUUUUUUAUCUUUGUAGUUUUCUAGCAACUUGCCGGCUCACCGUCCCAGCCUUUAAAUUAGUUUUUUUUUCUAGCAUUAUGCCUUGAUGAGUGUGUUCUUAUUUGACACCACGACGCAUUAUCAUUUAUGAUCUGUUCUGUUUUUUUUAGUCAAGGUGAGUAAGAGAACUGAAACCCAAUUAAAAUAUAAAAAAAGGUCACGAAAAGCAAAAAUAAGGUACAAAUCCGUGUGGCACAGCACACAUUACGAACUUGCCUUCACAGACAGUAUUAUUUAGGGUUCUUUUAACUCUUUCAAUUUUUUUAGACCUCCAAUAUUCCCCUCAUCAAAAAAUGAACACACUCAUUAUAUGUGUACAUUAUACACA
rnacentral:lncRNA from 1 species